rnacentral:rRNA from 1 species
UACAGGCUUAACACAUGCAAGUCGAGGGGCAGCAUUUUAGUUUGCUUGCAAACUGAAGAUGGCGACCGGCGCACGGGUGAGUAACACGUAUCCAACCUACCGAUAACUCCGGAAUAGCCUUUCGAAAGAAAGAUUAAUACCGGAUAGCAUACGAAUAUCGCAUGAUAUUUUUAUUAAAGAAUUUCGGUUAUCGAUGGGGAUGCGUUCCAUUAGUUUGUUGGCGGGGUAACGGCCCACCAAGACUACGAUGGAUAGGGGUUCUGAGAGGAAGGUCCCCCACAUUGGAACUGAGACACGGUCCAAACUCCUACGGGAGGCAGCAGUGAGGAAUAUUGGUCAAUGGGCGAGAGCCUGAACCAGCCAAGUAGCGUGAAGGAUGAAGGCUCUAUGGGUCGUAAACUUCUUUUAUAUGGGAAUAAAGUUUUCCACGUGUGGAAUUUUGUAUGUACCAUAUGAAUAAGGAUCGGCUAACUCCGUGCCAGCAGCCGCGGUAAUACGGAGGAUCCGAGCGUUAUCCGGAUUUAUUGGGUUUAAAGGGAGCGUAGGUGGAUUGUUAAGUCAGUUGUGAAAGUUUGCGGCUCAACCGUAAAAUUGCAGUUGAAACUGGCAGUCUUGAGUACAGUAGAGGUGGGCGGAAUUCGUGGUGUAGCGGUGAAAUGCUUAGAUAUCACGAAGAACUCCGAUUGCGAAGGCAACUCACUAGACUGUCACUGACACUGAUGCUCGAAAG